UACGUAGGGUGCGAGCGUUGUCCGGAAUUACUGGGCGUAAAGAGCUCGUAGGUGGUUUGUCGCGUUGUUCGUGAAAACCGGGGGCUUAACCCUCGGCGUGCGGGCGAUACGGGCAGACUUGAGUACUGCAGGGGAGACUGGAAUUCCUGGUGUAGCGGUGGAAUGCGCAGAUAUCAGGAGGAACACCAGUGGCGAAGGCGACUACCUGGCCUGUUUCUUGACGCUGAGGCGCGAAAGCUAGGGGAGCAAACGGG
rnacentral:rRNA from 1 species